UACAGAGACUGCAAGCGUUAUUCGGAUUCACUGGGCGUAAAGGGUGCGCAGGCGGCCAAGUGUGUGAGGCGUGAAAGCCUGGGGCUUAACUCCAGAAUUGCACCUCAAACUACAUGGCUAGAGCAUUGGAGAGGGUAGCAGAAUUCACGGUGUAGCAGUGAAAUGCGUAGAUAUCGGGAGGAACACCAGUGGCGAAGGCGACUUCCUGGCCUGUUCUUGACGCUGAGGCGCGAAAGCUAGGGGAGCAAACGGG
rnacentral:rRNA from 1 species